rnacentral:rRNA from 1 species
UACGAAGGGGGCUAGCGUUGCUCGGAAUCACUGGGCGUAAAGCGCACGUAGGCGGCCAACUAAGUCAGACGUGAAAUCCCUCGGCUUAACCGGGGAACUGCAUCUGAUACUGGAUGGCUUGAGUUCGGGAGAGGUGAGUGGAACUGCGAGUGUAGAGGUGAAAUUCGUAGAUAUUCGCAAGAACACCAGUGGCGAAGGCGGCUCACUGGCCCGAUACUGACGCUGAGGCACGAAAGCGUGGGGAGCAAACAGG